GUCGACAACGGUACCACCGCCUCCGCCGUGACAGUCACCGGCAAGACCCGCGUCCUCCCCACCAAGCCGCCGGCGCUCCCAACCUGCCCACUCACCACGUUCGACCUCCCAUACAUUACGUUUUACUACAACCAGAAGCUGCUGCUGUACAAAAGUGAUGGUGGGCUUGAGGAUAAUGUGGAGAGGAUGAAGGAAGGGCUUGCGGCGGCGCUGGAGUGGUUCUACCCGCUGGCUGGGAGGUUGGCGAAGGAUGAGGAGGGGGUGUUGGUGGUGGACUGUGACGGGGAAGGGCUGGUGGGAGCGGAGGUGAUA
rnacentral:misc_RNA from 1 species